UCUAUAGGGUGAAUCAACCCACGUGACGGUGAGACAUCGUAGCUGACGUCAUGCAGUAAAAAAAAGCUGUGGGCUUCAGUCGAGUGAUGAGCUACGGUUGUGCAGUGCAAUAACUUUAUUCUAAGUGAUCUGUGCGUGAAUGAAAGAAAAACCACACAACUCUAACUUCCAGCUGUUAUUGCAUGAACACUGGAAUACCUGUAUGUGUUGCUGCAAAGGGAGAAGUAAAGAAAGGAAGUAAACAGCAUAUCUACGUCUCUCAGCCCUUUAUUCAUCUGUACUCUGGAAACUUGGCCUUAAAUGGUGUUCUGGCCGACACCCCGGGGUGAACCUAGUGACAAACACUGAACUAGCGCCCAAUCUGAUCAUAUUAUCAUUAUCUCCACUACAGAGCUGCAGCACAACACCAGAGAGGUGUGGGAGGGGAUGAGGACCAUAACUGGUUAUAAAGAGAAGAACAGCCAGGCAACAUCAGGUGAUGUGGACAAGGCAAAUGAGUUCAACCUGUUCUACAACAGGUGUGACACAGCCUCACCUGUUCUCUCUCCCACUGCUUCAGCUGCAGCUUCUCCUACAGCAUCUCCUCCACAACCUGACACUGCAGCUGCAACUCCCUCCAGUCUGGGGUCAAGUCUCCUGUUCUUUACAGCGGAGGAGGUGAGGGCGGAGCUCAAGAGGUCACGUCCUGGAUUGUGGAUUACAUGACAAGACGACCACAGUACGUCAGGCUGGGUAACUGUGUCUCAGGGACAGUGAUGAGCAGCACUGGGGCUCCACAGGGGACUGUUCUGGCUCAGUUCCUGUUCACCCUGUAUACGGCCGACUUUGAAUACAACUCUCAGUCCUGCCACAUCCAGAAAUACUCGGAUCACACAGCUAUUGUGGUGCGUAUCAGGAACGGGCAAGAAGAGGAGUACAGAGAUCUGAUGAUGGCCUUCAGUUAAUGGAGCGACAAGACCUGCCUCCUUCUGAACACCUCCAACACCAGGGAGAUGGUCAUGGACUUUCAGAGGACUAGACCCACCCUUCAGCCAGUCAGUAUUUGAGGGAAGGACAAUAAGGUGGUGCACACUUAUAAAUACCUAGGUGUGCACCUGGACAGUAAACUGGACUGGUCCCUGAACACAGAUGCCAUCUACCUGAAGGGGCAGAGCCGGCUCUUUUUCCUCAGGAGGCUCAGGUCCUUUGACGUCUGUAGUGAAAUGCUGCACAUGUUUUAUCAGUCAGUGGUGGCCAGUUUACUCUUUUAUGCUGCAGUCUGCUGGGGCAGCAGCAUGUCAGACAUGAACACAAAGAGACUGGUAAAAAAGGCUGGGUCUGUGCUUGGCAGGAGUUUGGACUCACUCAGGACUGUUGUGGAGAGACUCAUGUAAUGUAAGAUGGAGGCCAUCUUGGACAAUACCAACCAUCCUCUCCACAACAUUCUUGCAGGACAGAGAAGCAGCUACAGCUGCAGCAAACGUCUCAUCUCACUGCGCUGCAGAACAGAGAGGUUCAGGAGAUCCUUUGUUCCCACUGCCAUCAGGCUAUACAACACCUCAACCAACGGGAGUGGACUAAUCUAAUUAUUAUUGUUCAUUUAUUAUUAACUGUUUUUAUUAUUAUUAUUAUUAUUAUCAACAAUGGACACAUGAAUUUCCCAUAGGGGAUAAAUAAAGUAUCUGUCACAACUGAACUAGGAAGUGAACCCAAAUGCACGACUCAGAGACAAAGUAUAAAUUAAUAAUAAAGUAGCAAAAGAAAGUCGCUCUAACAGAGGAAUAUAUAAGCAAAGUGCGCCAAUAAAAAUCGCUCUUUUGAGGAAAACCAAAAAACUCAAGACACAGGAAAAGACAAAGUAUCAAAAUACUCUGCAGCAAGACUAUGGUCAAAUGUAGUAUCGAAUUUAAAACCUGGCGUGGGAAACGUGGCUGGUGUGGUUCUCUGGUAACAUGACAAGACGAACUGACACAGGACAAAGGGAAACGCACGGUAAUGGGAAACAGGUGGAAACAAUCAGGGCGGGGCAGACAAUCAGACUAGUGGGAAACCCUUGUGUGGUGUUCAGGUCUGUGGGACCCAUUUUCAUUUUUUAUCAAAAGAAAAAUUAUAUGAUUAAGUAUUUUUUCAAACCCAGACUCAUUGGCCUUGGCUCAUUUUCUGUGAAGAAUAUUUAUCAGAACACAUUUUCAAUGACCACACAUUGUACACCCCCCUACACAUUUUAUAUUAACCAUACAAGUAUAUGCUGUUUACUGUAUAUUGCUUGUAAUUGGGAUGAAGUAAACAUCUGUUAAGUAUUUUAACAGAAAAUUGUUUGAUUGUGUUGAAUUAAACCCCAACAAAUGCAGCGGGUCCACCAGACCCGCCAACACUGGCUGAGUAACAAGAACAUGAACAUCACACAAGGGUUAAGUAGAAAUGGGUGAAUUAAAUGAGGGGGAAAUGAUACAACUGACCACAACGACUUAUUGUGAACUGUAUCUUGACAAGUCAUUCAGUGAGAAUGACAUUCAGUGAGAAUGAGUAAUCUAGCUUUUCCAGUGAGGGUGACUUCAGUAGGAGGGGAUUACACCUGCCAGCAACAAAACAGGAAGGAUGUGGAAAAGAUUUUCCUUGCAGAAACUGCCCCUUGUGUGGUCUACAGCCUACUUUCAUAUAAAUUUACUAAAUUUUCUACAUCUCAUUUUGCACUUGAAUUUGAAACUGAAUUAUUGAGAAAAACUCCCCUCGUGUUGCUCAACGUCACCCUUCUCGUUUUUUUGUGUUUUUAGAUUCGCCACAAGAAGCAAACUCCCUUCAUGUAAAAAAAAAAAAAGACCUGAUACUCUCACCAGAGCUGCAGAGGAAUAAACAAUCUUUUUUUAGAUUGGCCCACAGCUUCCUCAUUACUUGUUAAGAGCACAUACAGCCACCCGAGUACAGUAGUUCAGUAGUUCCUCUGAAAUCUGAAAACAAGGUGUGCAUGUGAUCUAUUUAAUUUUUCAGACCCUAACUUGUUUUAAUUUCCAUGGGAAGUUCACAGGAAUCUGGUGACCUGCACCAGACUUAGCCAGUCAAACCACAGUGGGUACGCCACUUGAGGUUUUAUUUCUCCUUCGCUGGGGGAGUUACUUAAAGCUGUUGCACAGAAUCUCUUAAAAGGUUUCCUUAGUUUAGGCAUUACGAGCAGUGAAUUUACAGACAGACAUGAAACACCUCGGCUAAACCUGGAAAACAUCAUGUGGCAUAAAACUGUAGUUUUCUUCCUUAGUUUGGCUGCUAAGGUCUUUUGUGCAACGGUUCAACUGAUUUUAAGUGAUUUCUUAAGUGUAAGACUAAGAGAAGGAGAAAACCUGAAAUCUGUGUUCUCCCUGCUCCCUCCUCCGAGCCCUGUCUCAUCAGCAUGGCUGCCAAAAUCAAGUUGCUAGCAAUAUUAGCCAAAUUUAUUACCCCCUGAUCUUGCACCUAGCUAUAACGCCCCUGCUUAGCAUUUCACCUGCUGGGUCUUUACUGGAUCACCGAAUAUAUAUGUUCUUAUCAAUCUAUUUAUCUACGAGACACACCGAGCAGAGGGAGAGAGGGAAGUCAUCGGUAACGAGGCUUCGUACUAACGACUGGGACCAACUCUACAUAUCAAACAGAGGGAGUCAGACAUAAAGACCUGCCUCUAAUAAAAGUCUCUGUGUGAGAGACUGAAGAAAGAUUGUCUGUCUCGGGCCCCGGUGGUUCACCUGGUGGAGCGUCUGCCAUUUCUUAGUCCAUGUUCCAGCUGCCUCUCUCUCUCUCUCUCUCUCUCUUUCUCUCUCUCUCUGUCACUAUGACUGUAAUAAAGGCAAAAGACUGAAAAUUAACACAAAAAAAAAGAUAUUGUGUCUCUUCUAACUUUCUCUGUGAGUGAUCAUGUUACAGUAAAUCCAGCUGAAAUCACA